UUUUGAUGUGUGCCUUUUUCCUUUGUAAAGAAAUGAAGAGUUUAUGUGUGUGUGUCUGCUUAACUUGAAUAUUGCAGUAUUUUCCACAGAAUUUCAUUUGUUUGCACCUAAUAAAACUGCCCUUCUUUUUGGAGGUUAAGCUGACAUUUCUUCCUGUGUUCUUCAGGCCUGCAAGCAGUCCCUGGGCUCCCGUGAAGACUACAGGCAGUGCUACAUAGAUCAGUGCUGCUGUGUAAUACUAGAACCCUCUGUUCCCCAAAAUGCAGUUCCUGUAGAGAAAACCCAAUCUGCUGUUGCUGGGAGCUGUCACACUUGUAAUUCUAAACAGAUUUUUUUUCUGAAAUAGUAAUCAGGUGGUGUGUGAGAACUGAUUCAUGUGCUCAUGAUGGUUCAUAUUCCAGAGCUCCCAUCAAACCUGUUUAAAACAAAGUCUUUCCUGGGGCUCAGCAUUACGAGAAGAUGGUGACUCAUCGUUCCUGGGGGCUGGCUGGAGGGAUGUCUGUUUUUCCAGCAGGCAAAAUCAUUCCUUCUCCUAAUCUGGGAAUACCAAGUGCUUGAAACAGCAGGAAAGAUUGCAGAUCUGAAGACACUAUAGAGGGAGGAGCCAAUCUGUGCAUCUCCAGGCUUAAAAGGAAGACCUUGCUAAGGACUGCUGAACCUGAACAGCUGCCCUGUGGGAAAUGGGAAGUUGAAUGACAUGAAGCCUUGAGCUCAUCCUGGAAAUCUCCUUCCCUUGCAUCACUCAUCACCCCUCCAGCACUUGGCACUUCUGUUCAGGGCCAAGGUGGGAAAAAGCCUCUGGAUGCUGUCCUCGAAUUCAGUCGAGAAUGGUGAUUCUGGCACGUUGCUUUGUGCCUUGAAGAGCAGUUAUUUGACCCACCCAGCCUGGGGACAAGCAGCUGUGACAGUGAGGGGUCCCAGGAAGGAACUUGCAGGGUCUCCAGUGUGGUACCCUGGCAGAAGGAGGUUGUGUGUGGGAUCCCACUGGCCCUGGGCAGAACUGGCUCCUGCAGACUGUCCCCAGGACCUCUGGGCAAUGCUGCUCCUUCACCCUGCUGACCCGGGGGCAGGAUGAGCCACUGUGGCAGUGCCUGGGCAGGAUGAGCUGCUGCCCAGCAAACAGGGAAAACUCCGUCUCCUCCUGAGCACCACGGCUCUAACACUGCUCAGCUGCCUGCAAGCAGCAGCCCCAGGGUAUCUUUCAUCCCUCCUCUGUAAGGAUGCAGAUGAUGGUCACAAACAGUAGGUUGGUGUCUGCCUUUGCUGGGAGGGACUGGCUGUGGAAGGAGGAGACAGCUCCCUAAACCAUCAGGGACUCACAGCAGUGCCAGGUGUGUCACCAAGUGUCCCCAACACCUCCCUCUCUGCACUCCACUCACUGCAUUGCUGCCCAAGCAGGAAGGAGUCCACUUGAGACCAGAACUGAAGUUUUCACUGCACCUGAUGCUGAUGACUGAUCAUGGAAAAGCAGGGCUCUCUGUCUGGCUGCUUUCCUGUGACAGUCCUGAAGGAAGCUACCUUCCCUUCCCUCAGUCCUGAAGGAAGUCAGGCUGGAAGCCUCUCUCACCAGUUCACAGGAAGAUAGUGCUGACUUCUGGAAACACAACGAAAUAGGGAAGGACUGUGCUGUGGUUUGCCAGAGCUCUUUUUUUUCCUGAUGGACAUCCUCUUCAUUUGUUUUAGCCUUUCGAAAGCAACUUGAUGCACUCCAGGCAAUGAUCCUCAUCCUUCAGCAUGUUGUCAAGGUGCUCACUGCCAGUCUUCAGCUCCAUUUCCAGAGGCACUGUGGUCAUGGCCAAGGAGAGCUGGAGGUGAUUCUGGAGGGCCUUCUGGAGCGCUCCGUCCCGGUAACUGC